rnacentral:rRNA from 1 species
UACAGAGGUCUCAAGCGUUGUUCGGAUUCAUUGGGCGUAAAGGGUGCGUAGGCGGCCAGGUAGGUCUGGUGUGAAAACUCGAGGCUUAACCUCGAGAUGUCAUCGGAAACCAUUUGGCUAGAGUCCGGAAGAGGAGAGUGGAAUUCCUGGUGUAGCGGUGAAAUGCGCAGAUAUCAGGAAGAACACCAAUGGCGAAAGCAGCUCUCUGGGACGGUACUGACGCUGAGACGCGAAAGCGUGGGGAGCGAACAGG